GAUAGCGCCGAUGCUUAAGUGGAGUUAUGUAGGAUAACAUUGAGAAUUGACUUAUAAGAAGAUCAUUUUGGUGUACAAUGGGACCAAUUGUGUUUGUCCUUGCCCUUCUCCUCGGGUCUGCAAAGGGAGACUACCCAUGUCUUUGCUCUUACCAGGUGGAGGCGGCAAUUCACGCGACACCAGACGAGAGUUCGACUGUGGACGGGUAUAUGUACGAAUUCGACUGUAAACCGUUCUAUGACCU